GGCCCUUUCACAUUCUCCCCCCUGCUCUCUCAUUCCCUCUCUCAUCCGUAGCCACUAUCACCAUCCCCACUGCCGCCAUCGACACCUCUCGCACUCUCUCAUUCCCUCCAUUUUCCUCUCUUACAUUCUCCCUUGGCUCUCUCACUCCCUCCCCCUACUCUCUCACUCCCUUUAUCACCAAUAGCCACUAUCACCAUCCCCACCAACAUCGAUGCCUUUGCUUUGCUACUCCUCUACAUAAUGUGCC
rnacentral:lncRNA from 1 species